rnacentral:rRNA from 1 species
AUCGAACGCUGGCGGCAGGCCUAAUACAUGCAAGUCGAGCGAGCGGCGGACGGGUGAGUAAUGUCUGGGAAACUGCCUGAUGGAGGGGGAUAACUACUGGAAACGGUAGCUACUACCGCAUAACAUCAGAUGUGCCCAGAUGGAUUUAGCUAGUAGGUGGGGUAAUGGCUCACCUAGGCGACGAUCCCUAGCUGGUCUGAGAGGAUGACCGGCCACACUGGAACUGAGACACGGUCCAGACUCCUACGGGAGGCAGCAGUGGGGAAUAUUGCACAAUGGGCGCAAGCCUGAUGCAGCCAUGCCGCGUGUGUGAAGAAGGCCUUCGGGUUGUAAAGCACUUUCAGCGAGGAGGCGUUACUCGCAGAAGAAGCACCGGCUAACUCCGUGCCAGCAGCCGCGGUAAUAC